AUGGAUCUCAAAGCCAUCGAUAUUCUCGGUAUUGCUUUUGGAUAGGGUAGAGAGAUCGAGAGACAUCAGAGAAGAGAGUGGGAUUAUGCUCCUUGGCUUCUUGAAGAAUGCUAUUCCACUAGUUUAAGGUUUUCUUUAAAGUUUUGGAUCCAAGGUUGAAGGAAAUCAAUUACAAGAGAAAGAAGAAGAGAAAAAUAUAUAAGAAGAAGAAAAGAAUAAAAGGCACAAGAGAAAUAGUAAUAUUAGGGAUCGACGAUAACAAAGCAAAAAACAUAUAAAUCAACAUUUUGGAUAGUCAUAUUUUCUCUCUCUCUCUCAAAAAAAAAAAAAUUGCCGAGAAACCUCUAAGUUUUAAGGGAAGGAGCUUACCUUUGAAAACAUGGUUAUUUUUGGUAUUAUUCAGAAUUUUUCAAGAUUUCAAAACUUUCUCACCAUCAUCAUUCUUGGCAAUCCUUGCCGAUGAGAGGGUUGAAGAUCUUGGCUAAAAAAAGAGUGGGAGGAGGGGCAGAGUAGAAAUGAGAACAUAGAGAGAAAGGAGUGGAAUAGAGGGAAGAGAGAGAGUUAUUAACAAAUUAGAGGUAGAACCUAGAGUGGGAGGAGAGAAAAGAGAAAAGGAGACACAGAUCCCUAGGAAAUGAUCCAAAGAAUGAUAGAGAGAGAAGAAAGUAGCAAAAGAGAGAAGAAAAAAAAGUAGAUAUCAAGAGCGAGCAAAAAAGAAAGGGUUAAAGAGGUAAGGUGGAGAGGGGGAGGCAUGCUUUCUAAGCCUUUUUUUUUCCGUUGGAAAAUGCUAAAAAAAAUUAAUGAUAGGUUAAUGCAUUGAGAUCUAUUCUUCAUCAUAUGGCUUGAGAUCUAUUCUUCAUCAUAUGGCUAGGAGGUGGCCAGAUCAGGUCUCAAAUAUCGUUCACCCAGAAAGAGACAUAUGCUUGCCCAUACGUAUAAGUGCAAACUUUUAUUGCCAAACUGUAAAACCAUGUAUAAUUAUAUCUGGAUGCACACAUUGACACAUAUCCAAACUCUGGCCACAAAUCUUUUUGAAGGCCGAGUUUUUAAUACAAUAAUUUUAAAUCUAUCCAUACCCAACAUUUGCCGUACUGUAUUCCUGUCGAAUGCCGAAUGAAUUAUUGUAGUCGGAUCCCUUUCAUAAAUUUUUUUAAAAAAUUAGGCUCUAUCUUUUUCUCUAUUUCGACUCAUACAAAUAUUUGAUUCUUGUUCUUUCUGCUCUCUCCCCCUUAGCCGUGCACGGCACAUGCCCGGUUGCUAGUUUAAAUAAGAUUGAAUCUCGAUCAAGCAACGGAGAAAAAGAAAAAUUAAUUACUCCACGGGAACGUCAUUUGAUCAAUCAUUCAACCAGCACUGCAGGUAAUGGCAAAAAAGUGUUCAAGUGGAUACUGGGACUACAGUGGGUAGAAUGAGAUACAGGAUUUGGUGGUCUUUUUUCUGCUACAACCGAUCCUAUCAUAUGACAUGAUAACAAAAUCUUACACCUACCGGGCAAGUGGUGGUUGCCAUCAUCAUUAGAUCGUUCCCCCGGUCCCAAAAAAACCCAUCAGGAUCCAAUCCCAACUCUCGCAUUCCAUCAAAUCCCAAUCCCGCCCCCAAAAAACCCAUCAGGAUCCAAUCCCAACUCUCGCAUUCCAUCAAAUCCCAAUCCAGAAGCACAAACAGAGAAGGGAAUCCACAGAAAGGGGAGCAAAGCUAAAAUUUCAUUUCAUUAUACGAGAGAUCAGGAACAAGAAAAGGCCAUUCAUGGUCAUCUCCUCACCAUCAGGACGCAGAACAAAACGGAGAAGAUGAAGGACCGAGCGACCGAGGUGGCGGCGUCGAAGACGGUGGCGAACCUCCGCUCUUGCAGCGCCCAGAUCGUCCCCGCGUACAUCCCCACUCUCUCCACCAUCGCCACCAAAAGCCCCAUCAGCCGACCCACACAGAAAAUUCUAGGGGAGAUGGAAUUGGAAUUUGGAGAAAGAGAUAGGGGACAGAGCCAGCUCGGGGAAUUUAUUGUGGUCUCAGAAGAAUUUGGUUUCUUUCGUUUUCGGCAUUCGGAUGCCACGUCAUAGAGCAACGGAGGAUGCGUGAUAUCCGUGAGCGGGGAGGGGAUUUUCCCGGUGGGCGUCGCCGGGGAAACGUUGUUCACGCGAAGGCAACGCGGCAACCGAAGUUACCAGCGAGGAACCUGCGAAGAAAGUUACGCCUCUUUUUAACCGGACAAUAUUAGCCGGUAUUUAAAUCUUUUUGUACGUAGUCACGGAGGGAGACAUAGUAACUUCUUGUGUCUUAAUAAGCAGGGGCCAAACUUGGAGUAAUUCCUUUGUUGGAUUAAAUUAUAAGCUCUAAAGUCACCAUAGCAGUUCAAAAAAAAAAAAUCAUAAAUAUUUCAACAGCUUAUUUUUAUUAAACAAAUGCUGAAAGCAAUGUCUAACUCGCUAAAUGAGACUGUUACCGGCUACUUGUUGGAGUGGUUAUCAGUGAGAAAUCUAAUAGGGAGAUUAC